rnacentral:lncRNA from 12 species
UGUCUCUCUCUCACUCUCUCUCUCUGUGUCUGUCUCUCUCUCUCCGUCGCGCGCUGCUGUUUUCAAUCCUCCGGUUCCGGCCGGGGUUCGGUGAGGGUUCCGCGCUGAGGAUGGCCUUGCUUCGGACCGCGGCCCAGCAUUAGAAGCGCAUUAUUCCGGCGGACCGUGUGCUGCGUCUGCGCUCCGCGAGCGAUCAAUGCGCGCAGGCUUCCUGCUCACCAGGGUUGCCAGUGUAUUGUUGGCUAUUGCUACAAAUCCCAAUUCCGCGGUAAAACAGAGGACUUGGCAACACAGCUGCCCACCGUCCGCGGCGCGUCACCGCCUGACGUCACCAGCGGAGCGUGUCUUAAAGGCGCAGGCACACAAAGUUGAUCUGGACUCAGUGAAUCAGCGAGCGGCUCGUUAGGAAUCAAUCUGAAGCACAGACUGCAUUAAUUAUCAUCCUGCGGGGAAACAGCCGUGAACAGCAUCAGACAGGAGACAGAAAGGCCAUCAUCACAGCUAAUCAGCUCUUUGAAGACAGUCCUGAUCGUCACACUUCACGUGUUGACUGAGCGUCCAGACCGUUUGAAGACAAUCCCUGGCUCCUCACACCUUCACACAACUCUUUUAAUCACUCAAGAGACGGUGCCAUUGCUGUUUCUUUUUAUUGUCAUUGUAAUUUAAAGAAUAUGAUGAAAUUAUUUGCUUGUUUGCAGUGUUAUUUUAGUAUCACUAAGAUACUACUGUAGUUUUUAUUACAGUUGCACACAAAAUCUUUACUUGUCACCACAACAAAUCUGAAAACAUUACAUUACUUGAUUGACUCAGUCGUUUAAAAACCUGUAACCCACACAACUCUUAUACCAAGAGAUGUGCCAUUGCUGUUUCUUUUAAUUGUUAUUAUAAUUUAAAGAAUAUGAUGAAAUUAUUUGUGUGUUUGCAGUGCUAUUUUAGUAUCACUGAGAUACUACUAUAGUUUUUAUUACAGUUGCACACAAAAUCUUUACUUGUCACCACACCAAAUCUGCAAAACAUUACAUUAAUUCUUGACCUUUGACUCAGUUUUCAGUUUCAUAAAACACUUCUUGUAAAACACAACACACAACUCUCUAUGUAACACACACAAAUCUAACAGGAAUUAAUAUUAUGGCAAAAGUGUUUGGUUUUGAGAUGUGUUUGUGAUAUUUUGAAUGCAGCGCUUCAUUUUGCAAGAGAUGUGAGGCAUUUUGUGUGUAAAGUUUUGGGGGUAAAAAAGAGGCAAAGUUUUGAAAACGUGUGUAAGCAGUUGAAACUACUAACCUGAGAGGGAUGUAAGAGUGUAUUUGUCUGAGUGUUUGCUGGAGCAGUGGAUCCAUCUAGUGGUGAAGCAUUGAGUGUUAGUGUUGUAUAAUGAGUGAUUAUACUGAGUGCUGGAGAUGAGUCCUGUCACAAGUCAUUAUGUCAACAGAAGACAAGCAGUAGAGAU